rnacentral:rRNA from 1 species
AUGAUGAAGCUCGCGAUGUGGUGUUUGCAGAUUGACUGCAAAGGAAGGCCUAAAAUGUCCGAGGUGGUCAAAGUCUUGGAAGGUACCAUGGAUGCAGAGAGCAACAUAGAUCAUAACUUUGUCGCAACAAAUGAACCAAAUUUCGGUAUUGCUGGAAAUGUGAACUCUUCAGCUCCACCUGUAGCCUCAGAUGUAUCAGCUCCAAGGUGA